CACAAAAGACAAAUUAUUCUAAAAGUGAACAAAUGUAGAACAGUCUAAUAUAAUAGAGGAGGUUCUCUCCACCAUCCCCACACUCUAUUCUCUCGCCGGAGAUUUAUACUUUACAGUGCAAAACUGACUCACGUUUCAAUUAAUGUCAAGCCCUAAUUUCGCCGUUGGAGAAAUCAUCCACUAUACAAAUCUCUCCUCAUUGCUCACAUUCGCAAUGUUGAUUUCUCAAUGUCGGAGAUGACAGCUGCAAUUUUGGCUUCGUUCAACGCCGCUUCCAUCGGAAGCACCGCAUCACGAGAUGUAGCGUCGCGAUACCUUAAACGGCGCUUCCUCUUUUUCGUCGUCGUCGGGUUUCCACCAAUCGUCGUCACCGUCCUCCGCGGCGAAGAGAUGUCAAUCGCCGAUUGUUACUCGACCGGCGACUCAUUCGGUUAUUAUAAAUCGUCCGAGAUCAACACCACGUCGUGACUCGUUGGAUCGACGAGGUAGUGGUAGUGGUAGUGGUGGAGAGGUUUCUUCACAGCGCAGAGAAUGUUGUUGACUUCUGGGAGAAGCUUGUUUGCGUCGUUUCAGGCGGAUUGAGUUUAGAUCGAAUCUAAACUCAUCGGCCGGAAGAGGAACAGUAGAGAAGAAGAAGAAGAAGAAGACGAUUCCGACUGCAACAACAUCUAGGAGUUGUGGAGCUCAGCAAGAGAAGACGAAGCUCUCUGAGCAGUGGCCUAGGUCUCUACAACGGCCUAGUUGUUUGAGUAGAAGCGUAGACUUUACAGAUACUAGGAAGAAACUGAACGGAUCUGGCAAUGGUGUAGCUAGAGCUCUUCAGAAUUCCAUGCUGAAUAAUAAUAUACCGCGGAUAACGAGAGAUUCAUUGAGUGUUGAACUAGAGAGUCUUUCUUUUGGAAGCUCUAAUGGAAGAGGGAGAAUGUUACCAGCUCGUGGCAAUGUGGUUAAGGUGAGAGUUUCGCAAUUGGCUAGUAAUCGGUUGCAGCAUCAGUUAGAGCCUCCUGGCUCACCGGUUUCAAAAUCUAAUGGACUGAGGAAGGUAUCGGUGGAUGGUCAUGUGUUAAUCCCCAAAAGGAAGCCAAUUGUUUCCAAAGAGUGAGCAGAUUCGACCUAGCAAGUUUGGUAUGAUUGCAGCCAGCUUCCUCGAGAGGAACCAGCAUUGCUAGAGGAAAUAAGCCCUUCGAGAGGCGUGGUUCCUCCCAGAGGGAUUAGUCCUUCAGGCAGGAUGAGCCCACUAAGAUUGAGAAUCCCCCUGACUAAAACCACACCUUUAGUUCUGAAUUUUUGUUUUGGAUGUUAUAGACAAGAUCAGAGAUAAUGGGGUUGCUGAUGCUCACUUGUUAAAGCUAUUACAUCAACAAUAGGUUGCUACAGUGGCGAUUUGCUAAUCCACGAGCAAAUGCUGUUAUCUCGAAAAGAUUGUACAAUUCAUGGAUAAGAAUCUCUAAGCUGUAUGAUUCUGUAAGAACGAAAAAAAUUGACACCUGAAGCAGAACUUGAAACUGAUAUCUAUUCUCAAAUAGGCAGAUAUAGAUGGGACAUCUGGAAGAGUGGUUGGUUAUGGACCGGGAUUAUAUGGGUUCUUUGGUAGGAGCUGCUGAAGCGUUGAAAGGCAGCACGCUCUGUCUACCUGUUGAUUGCGGGGAAAAAUGGUAAACGUACACAGUGUUAAGGAUGCCAUUUGCUCAGCAGUUGAUGUUGUGCAGGCAAUGGCAUCGUCCAUGUGCUUGUUGCUGCCAAAGGUUGGGAAGAUAAGCAGCUUGGCAGCAGAACUUGGUAGUGCAAAUGUCAAGGAGGAAGGGAUGCUGGACGUGUGCCGGGACCUCCUAAACACAAUCUCACCUCUGCAGGUUUAGGUUGGAUGGAUUCCCUCGUUUGUAGCAACCAGCCAAUCUAAGAAUUUCUUUCUUUAAAGGGCUUUUCUCUCCGUCUCUCUCUUUACUUGGCUGGCAAGGUUUCGAGCUCUGAUGAGGUUGAAAUAGCAAUUAGCAACCACAACAGGUGGACAUGUGUUAGGACCGACUGAUGAACUGGCUCACUAGGAAUCAGUUUGUGACAAUGGCACAAUGCGAUGCUUGAACCGUGGGACAAUCCUUGAAACGUGUCAACCCCUAGUGUCCCAAGCAAUCACUGAGUCUCAUUCUUUCAUCUCUCCCGCAACCAUCUUCUCUGCCAUACUAUGCUCUAAAAGCCUCAUGAUGGAUCUUCUCAACGGUAUGGGGUUAUAACCUUCGCAUACUAGCUACUCGAUCUCUCUUUGAAUCUUUCAUUCACAUCACAUGAAGCUAACAACGAGAGAUGGCAGCAAAGUGUAAUCAAAACCCUGAUAGUGCUUUUGUAACACGAACAAUUUUUCUUUGUAACAUGUACAUACGAAUCACAGUUUAUUUGAUGUUUUUCUUUGUUGGCGGCAUGUAGUUCCUAAUCAUUUUUGCCAUUUAUCAGAAAAGUACUCAAUUA